rnacentral:rRNA from 1 species
AGCGAACGCUGGCGGCAGGCUUAACACAUGCAAGUCGAACGCCCCGCAAGGGGAGUGGCAGACGGGUGAGUAACACGUGGGAGCGUACCCUUUGGUUCGGAAUAACUUGGGGAAACUCAAGCUAAUACCGGAUAAGCCCUUAUGGGGAAAGGUUUACUGCCGAAGGAUCGGCCCGCGUCUGAUUAGCUAGUUGGUGAGGUAAUGGCUCACCAAGGCGACGAUCAGUAGCUGGUCUGACAGGAUGAUCAGCCACACUGGGACUGAGACACGGCCCAGACUCCUACGGGAGGCAGCAGUGGGGAAUAUUUGACAAUGGGGGCAACCCUGAUCCAGCCAUGCCGCGUGAGUGAUGAAGGCCUUAGGGUUGUAAAGCUCUUUUACCGGGGACGAUAAUGACUGUACCGGGAGAAUAAGCCCCGGCUAACUUCGUUCCAGCCGCCGCCGUAA